AUUUUAAAUUAUAAAUUAUAAAUAUUUGUUAUAAAUUACAAUCAUACUACGGGGAAAAGUGAAACAUAUGUUUUCUUGUGGAACAUGUGAUAGUAAAUUAUUCGAAGCAUAAUAAUGCUUAAUUAAACAUCUAUACGGUAACAUUUGCGGACGAAUAUUGGGGUAAUAUUAUCGCGUCGCUUUAAUCUGGCAUUUAAUGCUUUGAUUGCGGUCUUUGAAAUGGCAUCACAGAUGCUGGUAUAAUAUCACACGAAAAAGGAAGGACCAGUGGUUGAUGUUGCAAGUGCACCAGUGCGUUGCAGCCAUCGGGGGUGGCUUUGACGCCGGUGCCGAGGAGAGGCGCAGAACGUGUUCGAUCGACCCGCGAACGCAGCCCGUGCUCAUACUGUGACAGAGUUCGUUUCAGUUAGUCUCAGUCGCUGUUUGCCCGUCGACAGCGUAUAGUCGCGCCGGCCAACGAUUAUUUUUUCUUUUUUUGUUUCUCGAUAAUUCUCUCGCAACACUCGUUCUAUACGUACACCAUCAGUUUAUCGCGUGAUCAUUGUUCCCGCUUCCCCUACCUUGUCACGUUCUUCAAAGAAGAUUUCCCUUCAGUUUUUUGUUGUUUGGGGAAAAUUCAUCGCUCGGACACAUGGAUUUAUCGACACGACGGUUUAUCGAGGCAUCAGCGUGAUACAAAGGAAAUCAACUUACACGGAUAUACUUCUUGGAAUCACCUCUCCAUUUGUCCACCAAUGAGCUGGUCGUUACGUUAAAAAAGGUGCAUUGGCAUUCUGUUGCGACUGCCUUCGCCAACAUCGUCUUCCCUAUUUCAUAAUUGCUUGUAAACAUGUAUGGGAAUGAAAGAAAUACGAGUAUCUUACCUGUACCAGGUGGUCCAUAUAGCAGAAUACUUUUACAGGGAGCAAAUGGGCCUUUAAAAAAGAUAGGGUAUUUAAGGGGAUACACAAUGGCAUCCUUAAUGGCAGAUUUACAUUCCUCUAGGCCUGCAAUGUUGUCCCAAUAUACAUUUAAUUCUUUCAGUAUGAUUUC